UACGGAGGGGGCAAGCGUUAUCCGGAUUCACUGGGUUUAAAGGGUGCGUAGGAGGGCAGGGAAGUCAGUGGUGAAAUCUCCGGGCUUAACCCGGAAACUGCCGUUGAUACUCUCUGUCUUGAAUAUUGUGGAGGUGAGCGGAAUAUGUCAUGUAGCGGUGAAAUGCUUAGAUAUGACAUAGAACACCAAUUGCGAAGGCAGCUCGCUGCACAUAUAUUGACGCUGAGGCGCGAAAGCGUGGGGAGCAAACAGG
rnacentral:rRNA from 1 species